rnacentral:rRNA from 1 species
GACGAACGCUGGCGGCGUGCUUAACACAUGCAAGUCGAGCGGUAAGGCCCUUUCGGGGGUACACGAGCGGCGAACGGGUGAGUAACACGUGGGUGACCUGCCCUCAGCUCUGGGAUAAGCCUGGGAAACCGGGUCUAAUACCGGAUAUGACUCCAUGACGCAUGUUGUGGGGUGGAAAGCCUUGUGCGGCUGAGGAUGGGCCCGCGGCCUAUCAGCUUGUUGGUGGGGUGAUGGCCUACCAAGGCGACGACGGGUAGCUGGUCUGAGAGGACGAUCAGCCACACUGGCACUGCGACACGGGCCAGACUCCUACGGGAGGCAGCAGUAAGGAAUAUUGCGCAAUGGGCGAAAGCCUGACGCAGCGACGCCGCGU